rnacentral:rRNA from 1 species
GAUGAACGCUGGCGGCGUGCCUAAUACAUGCAAGUCGAGCGAACAGACGAGGAGCUUGCUCCUCUGACGUUAGCGGCGGACGGGUGAGUAACACGUGGAUAACCUACCUAUAAGACUGGGAUAACUUCGGGAAACCGGAGCUAAUACCGGAUAAUAUAUUGAACCGCAUGGUUCAAUAGUGAAAGACGGUUUUGCUGUCACUUAUAGAUGGAUCCGCGCCGCAUUAGCUAGUUGGUAAGGUAACGGCUUACCAAGGCGACGAUGCGUAGACGACCUGAGAGAGUGAUCGGCCACACUGGAACUGAGACACGGUCCAGACUCCUACGGGAGGCAGCAGUAGGGAAUCUUCCGCAAUGGGCGAAAGCCUGACGGAGCAACGCCGCGUGAGUGAUGAAGGUCUUCGGAUCGUAAAACUCUGUUAUUAGGGAAGAACAAAUGUGUAAGUAACUAUGCACGUCUUGACGGUACCUAAUCAGAAAGCCACGGCUAACUACGUG